UCCCCAAGGAGGGAGAGAGAACAGUGAGGGGAGUCUCCGUGGGGCAGGGACUGCAGAGGAAGGUCCCCGUGGGACGACGGGCGGCAAGGGGGGUCCCGGGGCGCGAAGGGAGGGUCCCGCCGGCGAGCCCCGCCCCGGCAGCCGCCCUAGGUGCAGCGGGGGCCGAGCCGGUGCCGCCCCUUCCCCGCUUGGGUCCCCUCUGCCCUGCCGGCAGCCGACAGGGAAGCGCUGGCAGCGCCGGCCGGGACGCAUCUUGACCUCAGCCCCGCGUCCAGGUCUCGUCGGGAAACGCUCAGCCGGGCGAGAGCCCUCCUGCUCCCACCCUGUGUAAAUUCUGUCCUCCUGGGGCUUCGCUCCACCAAGCUUACUGCUUUUAUGAGGAGGAGAAACGAUAUAACGUUUUAUGUCCUAAGAAAGAAAGGGAAGGGAAACAUUGUUACAGAUAAUAAAAACAACUGAUUUGUACUCAAUAAACAUAUUUAUUGUAUCAACAAUUAAAACAUUGCCAUCAAACGCUCCUACUGUUUACUUACUGUUGCCUUUCACUUUUCACUUCAGGCAAUAAAAUAAUUUCUUAUGUUCCCAUUUGUUUCUAGGCUUUCUUAUAAUAAUUUCUUUUUUCUUAUCCUGAGAUGAUUCUAUAGAAUUUAUAGUUCUAUGCUUCUGGGGAAUGCUUUUAUCCAAACAAAUUAGAUUUCAGUGAAAGCAUAUCUGUUAAUGGGAUACUUUUAAUAAGUAGUUGAUGGACUACUGAAUUUCGAGGCCUUACCUAUGCUGCGUCUAUCUGUCUCCACGUGUCGUGUUCACACGCUGUAAUAUAUCACAGCAUAAUGCAUCUCUAGGAAAGGAACAAUUGAACACUGGCAGUUUGUGGCAGUUCCUGACAUCUGAAGCUUCCCCAGAAAUCAAUACGAUCAGAAAUGCUUAGAAAAGAUGUAUCAGGCUAAAAGGGAUACAGAGUUAGGUAAAGAGCUAAAGGGAUUUUUUCAAAAUUAAUUGUACUCAGAAAUGUACUUGAAUUGUGGAGGUGGGUAAUCAUGUGGAAACAGUUGUUGCCCGUCUUUACGGGUACAAAUUGUUUGUCUAAUAUAUCUCAGAAACUGGUAAAUUUAGGUGUAGUGUUUUUACAUGCGUAUCUUUACCCAGCAUGAACCGCCUGCUGACUUCAACAGUUUAAUGAGGAUCUAUCUGAGGCAUUAAAGAAGGGUAGCAAAUCAAACUAUCCCAUUGCUGUGUUUGAUGGACUAAUAGAAGUCGUUGAAAAGCAUUAGAAUUGGCAUUAGCUGGGGAUACUGAACCCCAAACAAAGGGGUAGCUAAGAACCACAACGUGAAACCAACUAAAAGAUAAAAACAAAACUUGUCAUCAAAUUUUGAGUGAGUGAAUUGCAAAGUUUAAGGGAGAAUCUUGUUUUAGUCCUGCUUUCAACAUUCUUGUUUGUUGAGUUUUUGUACAAAAGAUAGCUGUGGGAAUGAAAAUGGUUGGACAUGAGAGCUUAAGGUGUUUUGGAAUUUUUUAGUAUUUUUGUCAUUCUGUGGAUGUGUAUAGGUUUUCAUGUUUAGUUUUCAGUUCCUUAAAAUUUGUUGUGUUUUAGAAGGUAGUUGCAAAAAUAAAAAUAUUGAUGUGUAUGUAAAUGUAUUUGAAGAUUUGUAACAAUAUGCAUGCCCUGCAUGCCCACGCAAAAUUCUAGGCCCCUCUUUAAGUGACUUUCAAGUAAGUUGUUUUCAUUGAGUUUUGUCACCUUUCACCUCUGGAUAAGAAUCCUUGUCUCUUCAUUUGGAGCAAUUUAUGUUUCUUAACAGAAUGAGGACAGAAACAGUCUCCUGGUGUUUGUUAUUGCUCUUUCAAACAGCCAUGGUGUCUGUUUGAGCAUGGUGUCUCUUGAGAUUUCCAAGCAGCUAGGAGAAACUAGUGACAACUCUUGCUGCUCAGUAGUUUCUGAAGAGCAGGACUGAAACUGGCAGGAGCAUUGCUAGCUUUACACUGCUUUAGUUUUGAUAAAUGAGAAGAGAAAACCAAAGCAAAUUUUGUAUAUGUUAUCUUUGGUACCAAGGAGGUCUAGAAACUUGAAAAAACCAGAGGAUAGUGUUUUGCAUCAAGUUAACAAUUACUCCUAUCACUAUUCAUUGUGGAAAGCGUCUCAUUCACAACUCGUAAAUAGAUACACGUAUGUGUUGAUUUUUGAGGUUUUGUUUUUUAAACUUUUAUGAAUUUAAUCCAAGCAACUGUGCACUUCAUGUCUUUGUAUACAAAGUUCCCAUUAUUUACUGUGCUAAAAAGCAUCAUAAGUAAGGAUGCAGCCAGUGUCAGAGUGGUUUGACCUAAUACCUUCUUCUUCACAUUGUGUAUGUAACUUAAACUGGUUUGUGCUGCAAGAAUGAAAAAUCCUGUUUUACCUUAUGGUGCACAGUUUUCAAUCUGACUUCUCAAGAAUUAAUUAAUGUACUAAUUUGCAAAAUCCUAGGAAAGUAAUAUAUUUUCUGCAUCCUCCUAAAUGUAUCAGGCUUAACAAUAUGUUUCUUUAAAGGAAGAAUUCUAAGAUGGUGAUCAUCCAUAACAAUCAGUUUGUCUCUAGUGACAUAAUUUCUGUGGGAAUUGAGUCAAUCUAAACAGGUAUAAUGUAGUAGCAAUGUCAGAUUGCAUAGCUGCCAUACUUCACCAUUUUUUAAAUUUAUUCCCAUUGUCUGAAGACAGGAAUUAAAAUACUUCAGUAGUCACACUGGAGUAUGGAUGCUUGAAAACCAGUUACUGAUUAUUACGGACAGAUUUUGCUGUUUUAAAAAUAGUCAUGUGUGUUGUGUUAUGGUUUAUGAUCUCUUGCGUAUGUAUUAUUAAAUAAAAACAUUCAGUCCUCUGUUUGUAUGCCUACUCCUUAUUCAUGUUUAUGAAAUGAAGUUGCACAUCCUGUUUUGAGUAUUCUAGAUUUAAUGGUGUUCAUUUAGUUGAAUGAAUUUAGAAUUACACUAGCAAAUGACUCAGUGAAUUGUUUCUUGUUUCAUUUCUGGUUUGUGGAAAUACUUUUUUUUUUCUACUUUCCAUUAGUGAAACUUUAUUUUCAAUUCUUUGUAUUUUCUUGGAGUGUCGGUUCCUAAAAUUGACUUUUCAGUUGAUGAUUUUUUUUUCCUUUUUGGAAAUACACUUUUGCUCCCCUAUAAAAAUUGUAGUUGAAAGAUUUACUAGAACAAUGACCCUGAAAUAUUCUGCUUGACUGCAGCUAGCUGAAGAACUAAUCUUGAAUAAAUGUGGAUUUUAAAGAUACCAACAUACAGCUUUAGUACCCCUAGACCCAGAUGGUCUUGCGAUUUCUAUUUUUGCUUCCAAGUGAAUGUAAGAAGUUUUGAAGGUGUACCCUGGGAUUUUGGACAGUCUCAAAAAAUGGUAAAGACAUUUGAAAUUUGCACAUUCACUUAGAGCAGAAUUUGUUAAUAUUUAUCAAGAUAAAUUGUUCUCAGCUUAUCAUUUUUUUUCCUGUUUCUGUACUUUACCAUGAAUUUAUUUGUUCAUUUAAAGCUAUUCCUUAUAAGUUGUCAUGUCUUGCACGACUUGAGAACGCUGUACCUGCUUGAAAGAUUUAAGUAUAAGGAUGCAAACUGCCAGAAAACAUCAGCAUGUACGUAGCUAUAUGUAGCUGUAAUGACUUACGUAUAUGCAACUGACUUUUGAAAAAUCUUCCUUGUUAUGAAAAAGUGUUUGUGAAGAUCACAAAGGCCUUCAAAACCGCUUUGUUUCUCUUGCUCUCCUUUUGCCCUACUUGUCGCGUGUUGUUUUUCUCUUGAAAGCAAUUAACCUCUGCUGAUACCUAUGUCAGGUUGGUAUGUUGCAUAAAAUAGACGUAUGAAAACAUAACCAGGACCUACAAUUCCAUUCUUAUGCUAAUUUUAACUUUAGAUGUGAUCUCUGCUUCAGAGCCUUCACACAAGCAAAAAAAUUAUUUUAAAAAAAGAAUUUGAAAAGGUCAUUCCACAUUCUUAAUCCAAAAGGCAAAUCUUGCCUGUUCAAAGUGGAAUUGGAAUGCAAAUUUGGGUAGAAGUGUUGGAUUGUGAACAGUUGUGAGUUUAAUUUGUUUUCAAAAUACCCGGAACUUCAGUUGAGAAGGUCUACAUCAAUAGUUUCUUUUCUACUACUAGAUGCAGUAGCAGAAUACUGUGUCAAAAUAUUAUUUUUUGCUUUAAAUUACAUCCAAACUUGUGACUGAUCAAAUUACAGUUGUAGUGCAGCUAGACUACCCAGUUUUAUUAGGAGCACAUUUUCCAUUCAUCUUUGUUUAUGAUGACUCUGCUUAAGUGUCCUUAUCCAUUAUAUUAUCUAAUUAAACACUAAUGUAUUGUGAAUUUUUUCCCAUAUGAUUCAUGUUUGUUUCCUUCUGUAACUUACACUGUUUCUGAUUUAGUUCUGCUCUCCAGCCUCUUGCUGUUUGCUGUCUCACAGUCUUCUGCAAUUGCUUAUUUGGAGCUACUCUCUUUGUUAUGGUAUCUGUACAGCUGGCUCACUCAGCUUUUUAAAUCCCAACUUAAAAUUGAUUUCUUAAUUAUUUCAUUGCACAUUCUUCUUAUUUACAUCUGUCUUUUAAUUGCUGGAACACAUUCUAAUGUUAGAUGCUGUUCAUUUGUCUUUUGUUUUUUUCUCACUGUGAAGCUCGUAAUACUUUUGCAGGAACUGUUUGUUCAUACACAAAGGGAAGCUGCUGUUUUGGAGCUGCUGUAGUACUGAAGCUUGCAACACAUAUUCUGAAUACCCAGAAUUAACAUAAAGACAAACAGAAAAAAAGAAUGAGAGUCUACCAAAACAAACAAAUAGAUACAAUUGAAAGUCUAAUUUUGUUUAACAACAAAUCAUCGGUCAAUGCCAUAUGGAGAAACAUGGAUAUUGGAAUGGCUAUUUUCUGAGAUGUGAACUGAAGCUUUGGUGUACUCUGCAUAGUUGGUCUGAUUCUCCUAUUUGCCAAGUUAAAGGUCUGUCUGGUAGAUACAAAUGUAUGGUAUUUAUAAGGAUAACAAUAUGUUUGAAAAUCAGAUGCACAGACCAAAUUUGUUUGCACUAUAAAGCUGUGCAAAAAUCUAGUGUAAUUCUAUCUGAGUUUAGUUUACUGGAGCAUGGAAUAAGCAAUUCAGUGCAAGAAUGAUCAUGUGUUGAUAAAGAAUUGGAAAAGGAUUAUGAUUCUCAUGUAAGGCUAUGCAUAUCAGCAGUUUUUGAUUGCAAGACCAAACAAGGAAAGCCUAGUUUGGAUGGAUCCAAACAAUAAACUUUUUUUUUUCCUCUCAUGAAAAUAAAAGCCUAAAAAGAUUUUAUGUGCGAUCAAAUAGAUGUCAUUUUUUACCCAAGUAUUAAAAGCUUGGAUUAGAGCUAUUGUUACAAAGAGAGCAGGUGGUCUAGGGGCUUCCACGAAACAAAUGAUUUGAAAAAUCCCUUUAUUUGGUUCCCUCUUCUUACUGGGGAGGUUUGAACAGAGAUGUCUGUGCUAGGCAGUACCCUAUAUCACUGGUCUUUAGAUAUUCUGAAGACCUUUCAUUUUCUCUUAAUGAUGCUGACUAACUAUGUAAGUACUGGAAGGAGAAGAGCUCCUGUGUCAUCUUCAAAGAAGUACUUUGAAAUACUCUCUGCCUCUCUCACCACUUAAAUAAUUGUUCUGACUGUUAGGUAAUAAUCUUUCUCUAGUUCAAUGACUGGUUCAAGUAUUUUAUAGGAAUAAAAAACAUUUGUCAACACAGAUGAAGACCUUCUGAACUGUUGUCCUUAGGAAGGUGAAUUGGUAUCAAUGGUAAAUGAUAAUGAUUCUGAUUUCUUUGAGGAGAGGAUAGAAUCGAACCUUGUUUUUUUUAAUAUCCUCGAAGAAUUCAGUGACUACUGGGCUUUCCUAUUAAAGAUGAAUUAUACCCAACACUUCAUGCAUGCAGGGCAUGUUCUGAAUGGACCAAAUCAGUUUCUGUGGAGCAGCGAGGUAGAGAAAAAACGAGUUUGAAGAUCUGUAGAUGGUUAGGUAUAGUGAAGACCUAGACAACUGUGGGGAUGACCAAAAGCAGAUCUUUUCUUAUUUUUCAGAAUACUAAAAAAUAUGUAAAACAAUUUUAGAUAACAUUAUGAUGUAUAUCUGUUACUACAUUGUGUCUGUUUGUGUACACACACAUAUGCAUAAAGCUAUUUUUAAGGAUUAGGAAGGUCACAAAGUCAUGAGCUUGGCCUAGAUUCAUGAUCCCUUGGUUAUACCCACAUCUGCCUGCCCUAUCCUCCCCAGGAGAUUACUACAACCACAGCCGAGGCUGCUAUUCAAAUCCUCAUGUAUUAGCAAACUGAAAACAGUGGUAGUUCAAAUUAAAAGUACCACGCUGGACCGGCAGCUGCAGACUCAGUCUUUCUCAUGUUUAUUUGAUGUGACUGAGGAGGUUACCACUUCCUCGUGUAUGACCAAUGUUCUUUUCGGCUGUUCCAGCUAUAUCCAGCAUGGAUAGCAACAUUACAGAAUGGAAAAAUUAAUACUUCUCUUUUCAGUCAUAGUGUUUUAAUUUUUAUCCCAUAUUAUCUUAGCUAUCUUACCCCAUCUCUUCCUAUGCCUUGAGAAGAUGUCUCACUUGGCAGUGUACUAAUCUGUCUUUCCUCCUUGUUCAAAAUAGUUCCCAAACCCUAAUCAUGCAGGUUAUGCAAACCCCACUCUGAAGAAAAUACUGGAAUUUCCACAGAAGACAUUUCUAGGCAGAUGCUUAAGUUUGAUUCUGACUUAUAUGACAUGCACUAUAUGGAAGGUCAUACAUCAUGGCAGACACAUUUUGUUCAUCAGAGUUGGCUUCCCAAAUGCUUUGAGAAACUAGCCAAAAUCACAGCAUGGAAAAUUCCUUGACUGAGAAGAGUGUUUCAGGAUUCAUCUGGACUUUUUUUUCCAACAGCAUCUACUAUAAUGACAAAUACCAGCUAAGGGUAUACAUCUCUGCAUCUCUACAGGGGAGCAACGUGGGGGUGUAGGCAACAGAAAAUCUCUAAGUACUUUUCAUUCCACUUUCCUGCUGUGAAAAGAUUCAGAUAUCUCCAAACCUUUUCCUCUUCCGCAUCAGAAUCUCCACAAACUCAUCAGGAACCUCUUUCUUUCUCCAUUAAAAUAAUAGCAAAACCACCUAAUUUCCCUUUUGCAUUCCUACUUGGAUCUACAUACGCGUUUGACAUUUCAUCCUACGUGCACUUCCAGCAGAUGUAGGCUCUGUGGCCUUGCAAUUAGGUACUAUGGUAAGUGAUAUCUAAUUUUAGGAGAUGCCAUAUGGCUUUUUCUGUAUUUUCCUAGAUAGUUUAUGAAAGGUAAGCCUGCUGUUUCAUUACAGAGAUCCAUCACCCCCUGAAGUCAUGGGAAGGCACAUGCUUCCUCAAGAGGAUCCAGUACUCCUUGGACUGCAGUCCAUAAGCAGACUCUUCAAGAGCCUUUCCUACCUCCUAGUUACAGAUGCAUUAAUCAGACUCCAUUUUCUUCACUGCUUUGGAUUGCGUUCUUACAGUGAUGUGCCAGCCUCCUGCCUCCACCGGUUACUCAGCUGUCCCCUCUGUCACUGCAGACAGAUCUGGGGACAGCACAAUCGCCACUUUAAGCAUUGCAUGGUUGUGAUUCCAAGUAGAAGGCUAAUGUCUACACAGAGCAUUGGAGAGACAGAUGACACACCAGGAGCAAGGCUUGGAGCAUCUACAGCACCCUUUGCCUCCAACUCGUAGACUUGUGAUGCAAGAGUGGAUAAACAGUCUUUCUCAGCGUACCAAAGAGAAUCCUGCUUUCCCCUUGGAGAAGAACUCCACAAUAAAUGGGCAGCUUUUGUAAGCUCUUAAAGCACUCUGUGGCUUCAGACUCUUUAUAAGGCUGAUUAAGGGGUAGGAAUGGACAGGAUUAGUGGUCCACACCCUGCUUCCAAAUGACAUAAGGCUGCCAGCAUGGCUGCGCCAGCGUGGCUCUGUCAGCAAACUUCCUGCCGGAGCCCAGAGGACACUGCUCCGUGCAGCACUGCCAUGGGUUGGACCUUGGCUGUGAACCGGAUCCUUCCACCACCGUGCCGGCUGGGAGCAAUGGGUCAGCCGGGGGUGAAAGUAGUGGCAGCAGCCACCAUCCAUGCCUGGGGAGGCUCAGCCACCUCCAGCAGCAGUCCCGCUCCCUGGCAGGAGCUGGCCCUUGGCGGCCGCUGAGCUGAUGUAUUUCCCCACAUCCUGCCAGCUCCAGGCAGACAGGCCGGCUGCGAGAGCAGCUGCAGAGCAGAAAGUAAACUCAGAAAGAACUGAGAACUAAUUUUGUGCAGCAAUGGUUGGGAUGGAGGAUGCCUGAUGCAGUCUGCUCCCGCAAAGACCAGUUGUCUUCCCCUGUUUGGCAGCAGUAGCCCCUUGUGAGGCUCUUGUCUUGAAGCUUCCCUCAACUGCGUGAUGGAUUCCCAGUGGGAUGGUGCAUGCUCUGUGGCAGCAGCAUAUAGCCCUCCUGCAGGAACGCUUCUGUGCGAAGCAUCAGGAAGCAAACCUGAGUGCAUUCUCCAUCACUCAAACAGGUGAAAAACAUCUGGGCACAUUGCGUAAUUCAAGGAAAAAUAAUACUAUAAUUUUCAAAAUAUAAUGUCCCAUGAUUAGAAGGUGAAAUUCUUUUCUUCUUUGGCCUUGUAGUAUGUUGACUUUCAGAGGAGAGGCCUCCCCUUUCAUUAUCAUUUUUCAGUGAGAUAGCUGGCAUUUCUUUACAGAAUUGAUCUGCGCUGCCUCCCCUAGAAACAGCCCCCCGUUCUGCUAGGAAAGCUGUGCUGCAAGGCAAUCUCAGCUCCAGGUCCUCUUUCCAUAGAAGAGGAUCGUGUGAAACAGGAAAACUGAUUCCAUCUUGGGUCCUAUGCACAUCUAACUUGGCAAUCCCAGUUCACGUUAGCAGAAGUACCAAAGAUUGGGAAAACUGCUACAGAGGUCCCCGCAGCUUUCCUCUUUUGUUUGUAUUUACUCCCUUUUAGUAUCAGUACAGCUCACUAGGAACUUGUUAUAAAGUAAAAGCUUUAAAUGCAAACUACUUCCCAAGCCAGUGAAAAAUAUUUAAACACUUCAGGCAUUCAGCCUGUGAUUCAGAGAUUUAUUUAUAAAACUGUUGAUUUUGGGACACUAAACCAGUGCAUUUAAACUGCAGAAGUGAGUCAUAUUUGUGGGAGGUAAUUGCUACCAGAAAGUACAACUAACUUUUGUAGGUUUCUCUGUAAAAUGUCCACUUAUGAUCUGCAACUACUAGAAAGAACAUGCUUUGUUGUAUUUCAGCACAAGUUAUCUUUACAGACUUAUGUAGCUUUAUACAUAUAUUCUGUUUUCCUGACAUAUGAUAAAAUAAAUUACUCACAUGCCUGAGAACUUAUUUGGGUGUUUUUUUGUGGACUGUGUUGACCGGGUGACUUAUUUAGCUUAUAUACUUUUCAUGAAAACCAAAGACUUAGUGGUAACUACUAGAGAAAAGCCAUUUAACAUGGGAACAAUGAUUGUAGCUAGCACUUACAAAAAGCGUUUGUUCAUCAGCAAGGUCUCUGGGUUCUUGUAUCAUCCAAAAUCACAGUAAUCUACUCAAUCUCUUCUCUUCUCUGUGGUUAACAGAUCUUGGAAACUGAGGGAACUCCAGAUGUCCAACACCUGCAGAAGCUACUUGCAGAGCAGAAGGGAACUUUCCUCGUUAUCCCUCAGUCAUGGCUGAGGAAUUCAAGUUUAUUUAACUUGUGGUCACCUAGCAGCACUCCCUACCAGCAGAUGAGUCAGACACUAUGCCACCUAUCCCAAGAGAAUAUCCUGCAACUGAGUUCAGAAAAAUGUCAUCCGUCCUGGCAUACCAGGCUUUGAACAGUUUUUCCCAUGUCAAUCAGAGAGAACGUAGGGUCCACCAAAAACCAAAGUGGCCUUUCAUUCCCAGCAGACCAGGAAUCAUUGCUAGCAGACUGAAAAUGGAUUUGCUAUCCAGAAUUGAAACCACAGUCCUCUGAAAAUCUCCUUCCUUCCAAAAUGGGCAGUUACAGAACAGGCUUUCUUUAAAAACUACAAUUACCUGUGUGUGCAAUUUGCCAGGAAUCAGGUAGUCUCUGCUGCAUUUCCCAGGAAUCUUGUGACCAGACCAUGGUCAGGAAGUCUUUCCCCUGUUCUCCAUACUCCUCUAAAGUGAAUCCUGUCCCAUCCUCCCCAUCUCUGACCCAACCACAUAGCCUGUUAGCUGGUGUGGGUCAGAGAUGGGGAGGAUGGGACUUGCACUUGCCUUUCCAUGGCUUUCUAAGAAAGAGAACCAAAUGUUAUCAGCCUUAGCUAUGCCUCUUUGAACAGCUCCACCAUGUUCUCCCUGUGGUUCUCAGACAAAUAAACAGUUUAUUUUUCCUGGUGUUUCUUUUUUUCCUUUUCUUAGGACCAGGUUUUAAUUACCAAUUGGCUUUGGGCAAAUGUGCAGGACUUGGCCAUGGCAGCAGGGCAGCCUGGCAGAGGGCUUCACCUUCAGGGAGCUCCCCAUGCAGCUGGGAUGCCACUCUGGUGGGCUUGCUUAGAGGAGAACUGGUGAGGGCCAACCUAUGCUUUGAGAUACCACACAAUUGAGCAGUGUACACUACAUGCAAACUAGGUACACUUUACACUGAUUUACAAACUGCACCUUUGAGCUGUCAUAUCAGUACUACUUUCUACAGCAGAGUACAUUUGGAAGGUAAAUUUCCUUUCCCCUUGAAUUCGCUCUACAAGAACAUAGGUAUUACUAUUUCAGUCUGAUUAAUGGCCUACUCGCUGUAGUGUCUUCAGCCAAGGAGCAAGAGUUACCAAAUCUUCAGAGAAAGAUAAAACCUGCUAAUAAACAUUUAUAUAGUAAGAUGCUUUUAAGGCACAAUUCUUCCUAAUAUCAAAGUUAUUUUUGCGUGAAAUGUGCGCGAAAAUUGAACACAAAUCUCUUUUGAUGGCUUUCUUGGUGGCUUUAAAAAAGGAAGCAGUUGCAUCUAAACAAAAUACAGUGAUGGUAUUGAAAGCAGAAAAAUAUUUUACUAGACACUAAUAUAUUAUGGCUAUUAUUUCACAAGGCAGAGACUAUCAAAAUGGGAAAAAGACAGGGCUAAGCACAGGUUUUCCUGUUUCCACAGAGUUUUUAGAGAAAACUCUGGAGUUUUUAGAGUUUCCACAGAAUUUUAGAGUUUUCAGUGUUCAUAUUGGAUGGAGAACCGGAUGAUCCUUACCAUACAAUUGGCAAAGCAGUUUAAUGCCUGUGAGCCUUUAGCAAUCAAUAUAUUAGGACUUCAACGGUCAUGGGUAAUAAAGUUAAACAUGUUUGCACCAAGAUUAAGUGUUUCUUAUAUGUAACUUAAUUUCAUAAUCUCAUUAUAUGUAACUUAGUUUUGUAAUCUCAAAUCAGAAAAUUUUUGUCAAUGAUUUUUAAACUUCCUGAUUUUAGAACUGAAACAUGACUGUACAUUUUGCAUAUGCUGAAGAGGGGGUCUCUUUUAAUUCCUCAGCACUCCUCGAGCCUUUCAGAAACCCUCCAAAUGGUUGUGGGCUUUUAGGAAAGUUGAUGAUCACAACUCAGUGUUGGGCCGUUCCGUAAACCAAAUGCUUUGAGGUAAGUGGGUCUCCUUACAUGACUCAUAAUUUUUCCUGCAGCAGUGAAAGAGCAGUAUAUUCUGCUUCACUCACACACUUAGAUCUGCCCAGCAAUUACCUAGAGCUUAGUUCACAUACUUGCAAAAUACCAUUCUUCCUGUGCAGGAUCCUGAUGGAUGUUUGCCUGAAGAGCUGCAUCCCAGUCACAUCUCCUAUCAUACUUUUGUAAAUGAUGUCAGGGUUUUUUUUUGCUAUGGUUUCACAGGAAGGAGAAAUAUGAGGGAAGAGAAUCAUAUUACAAUUGUUUGUACUUCCUGAGACUGAUGCACAUCCC